rnacentral:rRNA from 1 species
CUCAUUAAAUCAGUUAUAGUUUAUUUGAUGGUCUCUUUUGUCUUUUUUUACCUACUUGGAUAACCGUGGUAAUUCUAGAGCUAAUACAUGCGCAAGGUCCCGAGCGCGGGGGGCAGGGCUUCACGGCCCUGUCCUCACAUGCGCAGAGGGAUGUAUUUAUUAGGUUAAAAACCAGCGUAGUCAGCAAUGGCUACAAACUCCCCUGGUGAUUCAUAGUAACUCUUUCGGAUCGCAUUCAUG